rnacentral:rRNA from 1 species
AUUGAACGCUGGCGGCGUGCUUAACACAUGCAAGUCGAUCGGUAACAGGUGUAGCAAUACAUGCUGACGAGAGGCGGACGGGUGAGUAAUGCUUGGGAAUCUGCCUAUUAGUGGGGGACAACCCGGGGAAACUCGGGCUAAUACCGCAUACGCUCUACGGAGGAAAGCCGGGGACCGCAAGGCCUGGCGCUAAUAGAUGAGCCCAAGUCGGAUUAGCUAGUUGGUAGGGAACGGCCUACCAAGGCGACAAUCCGUAGCUGGUCUGAGAGGACGACCAGCCACACCGGAACUGAGACACGGUCCGGACUCCUACGGGAGGCAGCAGUGGGGAAUAUUGGACAAUGGGGGCAACCCUGAUCCAGCGACGCCGCGUGGGUGAAGAAGGCCUGCGGGUUGUAAGCCCUUUCGGUGGGGAAGAAAAGUCUCGACCUAAUACGUCGGGACCUUGACGUAACCACUAAAGAAGCACCGGCUAACUCUGUGCCAGCCGCCG